UGGCGGACGGGUGAGUAACGCGUGGGUAACCUGCCUCAUACAGGGGGAUAACAGUUAGAAAUGACUGCUAAUACCGCAUAAGCGCACAGGGGCACAUGUUCCGGUGUGAAAAACUCCGGUGGUAUGAGAUGGACCCGCGUCUGAUUAGCUGGUUGGCGGGGUAACGGCCCACCAAGGCGACGAUCAGUAGCCGACCUGAGAGGGUGACCGGCCACAUUGGGACUGAGACACGGCCCAAACUCCUACGGGAGGCAGCAG
rnacentral:rRNA from 1 species